rnacentral:lncRNA from 1 species
CACCCUUUGAUUUGGGCAACCCCACUUUCCUGUUUGGGAUCCUGCCCCGUGCCACCAUAUUGACCAGGAAGUCCCUGUGGACUGGAAUCCCCACGCAUGCUUCGCCUCGCGUUACUGGGGGGCGGGGCGCGAACGGAUUACAGAGCCAAUGGACUUCAAGCAGGACUGAUUGCGGGGUCUUGGCGAGUCUCCGGAUUUAGACCUUAAGAAUGGAGAAGCACCAGAGAAUAAGUAAAAAGAGAACGAAGUGACAUCAAAAGCGGUCUGAGCGUGACUUGCCUCCACCCUCCCCACGUGAAACUGCAUCCUUCUACUUACUUCCCGCGUUGUUCGGCCCUCAGAUCCUAGUUCUUUGCCCUAAGACACGCAACGCGAGCCAGCCGCGUGGUCCAUGCAGGGACG